AUCUCUUCUCAGCCUUUCGCUAAGAUCAAGUAUAGUAUCCGUUCUUAUCAGCUUAAUAUCUUAAAUAUUCUCCCUCUGAGGACAAUAUUAAAUGGAUUGUUGAAAAUAGGAAAUGGAACAUGAGCUUGUUCUGUUUACUCUAUACAUUAACUGGCAUUGCAGUACUGCCAGGAAGAGAGAGAGAGAG
ensembl:snRNA U2 U2 spliceosomal RNA